CAAGGGACUUAAACGAAAAUUGAGUGCACUGGCGGAAACGCCGGCUGUAGAACUGCUCAAAUUCGGGGAAACCUGUCAGAUGGCAAUCCCGAGCCAAGCCUGAAUCAUCAUACAUUCAGGAAGGUGUAGAGACUAAACGGGCAGCACCUAAGGCAAGCGCUAGGGUGAAGAGAUAGUCCAGACCACAAACG
rnacentral:ncRNA from 1 species